rnacentral:lncRNA from 1 species
UAAGUGCACCUCUUCCACCUCUCUUUGAAGAGGGGGAAAUGGAUUUGGUACAGGCCAAAACACAGGGAUAUCAAUGCUCACUACCUUGCUGCUUCUCAGUGGAUGGAGGGAGCAAAUCACACUGUAUUUUCCUUUUCAGUCAUUAGCAGGCUGUUCAGAAUCUCUGGCUGGUGCUUAUUAUUUAUUCCAAACAGAAAUAAAAUAAAAUAAAAAUAAAUAGCAGCACGAGGACAACGCUAUGCACAGCACAUUCGCUCUUUCAAAAUAAUAUUACCUUUCAAGUCCACCGUAACCUUGGAAAAGAAUAACUCGGCGUAAGCCAAAUCUACAAAACUAAUCACGAUCCGUUCCGCCCCCGCUUUUUAACAGCUCUUACAGGGAACACACGGGUGCAGUUCGCAGGCAAGUUGGGAACAGCUCGCUUCCAACACAGGAUCUGCACCGCGAUCGCUCAGUCCUGCAUCUCUGACUGAUGGAUCGCGUGUUUGCCUCUCCUGUGUGACAGCGCUGGCCCUCACCGAAUCCAUCCCGGGUGAAGGGAACUCGCUCCCGGAGCCAGCCAGCCUGUCAGGCCUCCCCCAUCAAGGAGCCAGCCUGCUCAUGAAGGAGGGAAAUGGGAAACUCCUGGCCACAGAUGGAGGACGAGCCUCUGCUGUGCUUUGGCUGCAUGCUGCUCUCCCUUCCCACCCCUGCAGUGGAAGACCACCUCAGGACAGACAGACAGAAAGCCAUCCAUGCAAAGUGUCCAAAAGGGUGGCUCCACGAUUCUUUGGGGGAGGGAUUGUUUCCUUGAGGGGAAAAUCAUCCUUGUAACCAUCGUGAUUCAUACCACGAGUGCGCAACGUGAAACCGGUACCAAAAACAACACUACAAAGACGUUCUCUCUCUGGCGCUUCACCGACCUAUGGCCACGGCCCCGGGGGCUGACUCAGAGCUCUUCUUAAUCGACAUUUCUGCAACAACAUACCCUGGCCCAAGCCGUGCCUCUCCCCGUGGCUGGCUGGCACACUCCCCGUGCCUGGUGCUGCCCGGGGGACACGGCACGGUGGGGACGGUGCCCCACGGCCCUGCUGUAACACCAACAGAUGGCUGCUACACAGAGCAGGAGAAAUACAAGCCCUGAGCACUCAUGGCAUAGGUGGA